CUUAUUUCAUUUUAUCAAUCACUAUGCUCUAUCAGCUAUCUACGGUUCUAUUUCAAUUCUCUCUUGAUUUGUAAGGUUAUGUUAUUCUUUCUUCGGUUAAUCCUGGGUUAAUCAGCUGUCUCUGCUUCCUUCGUCGAUGUGGUUAUCUCUUGAUGUCCAAACUUACGAUGAUUCCUUGAAUUCAAUGUUUAUGAUAUCUUGAUCUUGAAUAAAGGUAUGAUGACCAUAACAAGUUGUAUCUUCGGUGAAAAUUUUAAUGUUUUUCUGUUAUAUAAAGCUCUUUACCUUGACAUACCUGAUUGAAAUAAAGUAAAUAGAAACUAUGGAAUUUUGAAUCUCAGAAAUUAUAAUUCCUCACAGAAAAAACUGGUUUUCCCACUACUUGAAAAUAAUUAAUGAGUUUGCUUUUAAGAACUUUUACAUUAAUACGUUUACACGAAUAGCAUUUUACAUAUUUAGUGAAAUGGUCUACUAUUACCAACAAAUGUUUAUUACCAUAUCUAGAAAUUACCAAGUCACUUAAAAUAUCCAUAGACACUAUCUGAAGAGGUUGGUGAGAAAUUAUACUUUUUGGUUCAUUUUGAUUGAAAU